AAAUUACUUAUUUCAUUUAUAGUUUGUGAUGAGGACUAUUAUGCUACUUUAUUUAAUAGUCAAACAGCUACCAUUGAUGGAAUCAGUUAUACCAUUGGGAUACCGCAGUUCUGUAUAACAGGGACAUAUGCAAGAAUAUGUAAUGAUGGUACUAAUUCUCCUGAAUUGGGACUAGCUUUAUGCAAUAGUGCGGGAUUUCUAUUUGGUGAGCUCCUUUCUUCAAACUCAAGUCUUGCUGAGACCUUAUACAGGGGCUCUCCCCAGGGGAUAUUGUAUUUGAAUAGAUUCCUUUGUUCUGGUCAUAAUUGUCAAGGAGAUUCAAGUUCAGGCUUUGCCAGUAAUCCACAGUGCUUCAAUGGUCAACUGGAAACUAUUGUGAGAUGCUCUAAUAUAAAGUCUUAUGCAGUUGUCAUUGGAGUCACUGUUGGUAUAUUGGUCGCAUUUGUAGUGACAGUACUUAUUGUUGUCAUAUUAGUAGUUGUGUUUAUGGUCAUCCGUAAUAAAAGGACUCAUAGACAUGAUGGUUUAUUAACAAUUAAUGAUGAUAUUUAUA